GAUGAACGCUGGCGGCGUGCCUAAUACAUGCAAGUAGAACGCAGAAGGAAGGAGCUUGCUCUUCUCGGAUUAGCUGCGAACGGGUGAGUAACGCGUAGGUAACCUGCCUGUUAGCGGGGGAUAACUUCUGGAAACGAUAGCUAAUACCGCAUAAUAUUAGAUGUUGCAUGGUUCCUACUUAAAAGGUGCAAUUGCUCCACUUCCUGAUUGACUUCCGUUGUAUUAGCUAAUUGGGGAAGUAACGGGUUAACCAAGCGACGGUACAUAACCGACCCGGGGGGGGGGUCGGCCACACCUGGACUGGAACACGGGCCCGACUCCUACGGGAGGCAGCAGGAGGGAAUCUUCGGCAAUGGACCGAAGUCUGGCCGAGCAACGCCGCGUGAGUGAAGAAGGUUUUCGGAUCGUAAAGCUCCUGUGUAAGGGGAGGACGAGUGUGGGAAGGGAAAGUGCACACUGUGACGGUAUCUUACCAGAAAGGGACGGCUAACUACGUG
rnacentral:rRNA from 1 species